GUCGUGCUAGGGAUAGGGAAUUGCUAUUAUUUCCCUUGAACGAGGAAUUCCCAGUAAGCGCGAGUCAUUAGCUCGCGUUGAUUACGUCCCUGCCCUUUGUACACACCGCCCGUCGCUACUACCGAUUGAAUGGUUUAGUGAGGUCCUCCGAUUGGACCCGGUCCGGGCGGCGACGUCCGAGCCGGCGUCCGAGAAGACGAUCUAACUUGAUCAUUUAGAGGAAGUAAAAGUCGUAACAAGGUUUCCGUAGGUGAACCUGCGGAAGGAUCAUUA
rnacentral:ncRNA from 1 species